AGGAAAAACAUUCAUUCAGACGAUGAGACAUGGAAUAUUAAGCAAAAUCAGAGUUCUAGACCAACCCAAUACGAAUAUCCCGCUUACAGAGGUUAGCUCUGUUACUGAGUUUUAUGUGGCAUCAGCUCUUCAGAAUUACAUAAACUCAGAUCAUCCCUCACACGGCCGAAAGAUCCAUCCCCUCAUACUCAAAACUGGUAUCAAACCCAAUGUCAAUAUCUCCAUCAAACUCCUCAUCAUGUACGUCAAGUCCUCCUGUUUAUCAGACGCGCGCCAGGUGUUUGAUGAAUUGCCUCGCCGAACUUUAUCGGCCUACAAUUACAUGAUAUCGGGCUAUACAAAACACGGGUUUGUCGAUAAAUCUUUUGAUUUGGUUCGAGAACUGUGCCUCUCGAAUGAAAAGCCCGACGGAUACACAUUUUCGAUGAUUUUGAAGGGUUCGACUAGCGGAAAUGCAGGGUCACGUUUACCUUUUACGGGGUGUGAGGUUCAUGUCCAGAUAUUGAAAUCCAAUUUUGAAGGUGAUGAUGUGCUUUACACCGCAUUGGUUGACUCGUAUGUGAAGAGUGGGAGGGUUGAGUACGCAAGAAGAGUGUUCGAUUUAAUGUUGGACCAGAACGCGAUUUGUUCGACAUCGAUGAUCACAUGGUACAUGAACCAAGGCCGUUUGGAAGAUGCCGAGGAUGUAUUUCACAAGACUGUGGAGAAGGAUGUGGUGGUUUACAAUGCCAUGAUCGAAGGAUACAGUAAAUCAGUCGUGACGGCUAAGAAGGCGAUACAUAUAUUCAUCGAUAUGCAGAGCCUAAAUUUCAGGCCUACGAUAUCUACUUUUGCAAGUAUUAUCGGUGCUUGUUCUCUUUUGUCAGCGUUCGAAAUCGGCCAGCAGAUCCAAGGGCAGUUAAUGAAAACCGAGCUUUUCACAGACAUAAAGAUUGGCAGUGCUCUGAUAGACAUGUACUCCAAAUGUGGGAGAACUGAUGAUGCAAGAUCCAUUUUUGAUUCCAUGCCGAGAAAGAACGUCUAUUCGUGGACUUCAAUGAUUGAUGGAUACGGGAAAAACGGGUGUCCAAACGAAUCGCUCGAACUCUUCGAUAGAAUGAUAAGCGAACGUCACACUAAACCAAAUUACGUUACUUUUCUCGGUGCACUCUCUGCAUGUGCCCAUGCAGGAUUAGUUGCCAAAGGGAGGAAGAUAUUCGAGUGCAUGGAUCGGGUUUACUCGAUGAAGCCAAGAAUGGAGCACUACGCAUGCAUGGUAGAUCUAUUAGGGCGUGCGGGGAGUUUGAACCAGGCGCUUCAAUUCGUGAUGCAAAUGUCCGAAAGGCCUAAUUCCGACGUUUGGGCGGCUUUGCUGAGUUCUUGCAGACUCCAUGGCGAUGUGGAGCUCGCGAAAAUAGCAGCGAACGAGCUUUUCAAAGUGAGUGGAGAGAGUAGGCCUGGGGCGUAUGUUGCUUUGUCGAACGCGUUAGCUGAUGCUGGGAAAUGGGAUAGUGUGAGCCAAUUGAGGGAGUUGAUGAAAGCGAGAGGAAUAUCGAAAGGAACGGGGUUCACUUGGAUUGGAACCGAUGCUGGUUUAGAAGCUUUUCAUGCUGGCCAGUCACUGUGAUUUAUCAUGGCAGUAUUAUUUGUCAGGCGAGCGAUGUCGGAGGAAGAUAUUUCUGUUGAUCAUAUAGGUACCGAGUCUACAGGUACUGACGUGGUUGAUUUCAAGUUUGACGACAAGGGUAUUCCCGUUGCACCUGGGAGGUACAAGUUGGCGGUGGCUAUUAGUAACGAGGUUACGCAUUGGGAUAAUUUUGAUCCAUGUAUUUCUUGGCCUAACCACAAAAAAAUGGGCCGUGUCGAGGGAUUGUGGAAAGCGUUUAAGGUAUUUGUAUGUAAUUUUCUGUUUAAUUUUCAAUUGUAUAUUUUUUAUAUUUUAUUUAGGAAACUUGGAAACUUCCUGAAAAUGAGGCUACAAAAAAAUGGUUCAAUGAGACUGCUAACGGUCGUUGGAAAGAUGCGAAAACUAAACGAUUGAAGGCAGUCUUUGAUAGAGCUCCAGACCUUGCCAUGGCUAAGGCAAAUUGUCCAAAUAGGAUUAGUGUUCAAACUUGGGAGAAACUAUGUGAUCAAUUUCAUUCUAUUUCCACUCCUGGUGUUGAUGGGAAGGUAAAUUAUAUAUAUUUAAUUUAUGGAUCAUGUUUAAAUAUAUUAAAGAGGUUUAAUUUUUUGUGUUAUUGUUCACAGUCCAAAUCAACCAAAUGCAAGGACUCGCGAAAGAAAGUCUCGACAGACCCCCAUUGGGGUCGAACAAGUAUCAAUAGUUGGUCCCACAAUCAUUUUAAAAAAUUGGGCAAAAAUCCUACGGUGUUUGAUACGUAUAAGAAAGCAUAUACGCGUAUUGAUGUACUGAGGGAAACCGGGCCAACUACUAGUGAGGAAGGAGAUACAGAAGAACCGUAUAAUGGGAUAGCAACUCCUGAACAACUUCGCAUUUCGGUAAGUGUAAUGCAAUUUUAUUCUUCAAUUGGUUGUAUGUUAAUUAUUUAUGUUUAUUGUUGUCGCAUGUUUAUCAUAUGUAAAUUAUUUGAUAUGUUAAAUUAGUACGUAGUUGAGAUAUGUGGAUAUGAAUAUUUGUUUUAAAUAAUGUUAAGUUGUUGCAUACAUGGAUGGUUUUUUGGGGAUGUUCAUUUAUUAGUUGUUAUGCGGUCGAAAUUUUUGCUAAACAAGUGUACUUAAUCAUUUUCAGGCUGAUUUGUAACGAGUGUACGAUGAGACAAUUCGUGAUGGAAGUGACGAAAGCACGGCCAACUCAAUUGCGAUAGAAAAAGUGCUCGGAAAAAGCAAAGGGCUUGGAAUUAAGAUUGCAACCACCACAAAGAGUUCAAGGUCGAGAUUUUCUUCAAUUUCGCCGGAAGUGCAAAUGGAAAUGAAUUCAAUGAAAGAGCAAAUGCAACUUAAAGAUGAAAAAAUGGAAAGAUUGGAAGCGGAAUUGAAAGAAACCCGAGAAAUUGUUAACACCUUGGUCGGCCGUUUUGGACUACAAGCCUCGACAUCGACUCCUUCCAAUGAUGGUGGAGUAUAAAAAGGGAUGAACUUUGUUUGGUUUUUGAAUUAAACUUUGCAACACUACAUUAUAUGCUUUUAAGUUUUAUGUACUUUUUUAAUUUAUGUUUUGUGCUACCUUGAUAUUUAAUCCGUA